rnacentral:rRNA from 1 species
AUUGAACGCUGGCGGCAGGCCUAACACAUGCAAGUCGAGCGGAUGAGGAAAGCUUGCUUUUCGAUUCAGCGGCGGACGGGUGAGUAAUGCCUAGGAAUCUGCCUGUUAGUGGGGGAUAACUCGGGGAAACUCGGGCUAAUACCGCAUACGUCCUACGGGAGAAAGUGGGGGAUCUUCGGACCUCACGCUAACAGAUGAGCCUAGGUCGGAUUAGCUAGUAGGUGAGGUAAUGGCUCACCUAGGCGACGAUCCGUAACUGGUCUGAGAGGAUGAUCAGUCACACUGGAACUGAGACACGGUCCAGACUCCCACGGGAGGCAGCAGUGGGGAAUAUUGGACAAUGGGCGAAAGCCUGAUCCGGCCAUGCCGCGUGUGUGAAGAAGGUCUUCGGAUUGUAAAGCACUUUAAGUUGGGAGGAAGGGUAUUCACCUAAUACGUGGGUACUUUGACGUUACCAACAGAAUAAGCACCGGCUAACUCUGUGCCAGCCGCCGCGGUAAGAC